GAUGAACGCUGGCGGCGUGCCUAAUACAUGCAAGUCGAGCGAACAGAUGAGGAGCUUGCUCCUCUGACGUUAGCGGCGGACGGGUGAGUAACACGUGGAUAACCUACCUAUAAGACUGGGAUAACUUCGGGAAACCGGAGCUAAUACCGGAUAAUAUAUUGAACCGCAUGGUUCAAUAGUGAAAGACGGUUUUGCUGUCACUUAUAGAUGGAUCCGCGCCGCAUUAGCUAGUUGGUAAGGUAACGGCUUACCAAGGCUACGAUGCGUAGCCGACCUGAGAGGGAGAUCGGCCACACGGGAACUGAGACACGGUCCAGACACCUACGGGAGGCAGCAGUAGGGAAUCUUCCGCAAAGGGCGAAAGCCUGACGGAGCAACGCCGCGGGAGUGAUGAAGGUCUUCGGAUCGUAAAACUCUGUUAUUAGGGAAGAACAAAUGUGUAAGUAACUAUGCACGUCUUGACGGUACCUAAUCAGAAAGCCACGGCUAACUACGUG
rnacentral:rRNA from 1 species